CCUACGGGCGGCAGCAGUGGGGAAUAUUGGACAAUGGGCGAAAGCCUGAUCCAGCCAUGCCGCGUGUGUGAAGAAGGCCUUCGGGUUGUAAAGCACUUUCAGUGGGGAAGAAAGCCUUGGGGCUAAUACCCUCGAGGAAGGACAUCACCCACAGAAGAAGCACCGGCUAACUCCGUGCCAGCAGCCGCGGUAAUACGGAGGGUGCGAGCGUUAAUCGGAAUUACUGGGCGUAAAGCGCGCGUAGGCGGUCUGAUAAGCCGGUUGUGAAAGCCCCGGGCUCAACCUGGGAACGGCAUCCGGAACUGUCAGGCUAGAGUGCAGGAGAGGAAGGUAGAAUUCCCGGUGUAGCGGUGAAAUGCGUAGAGAUCGGGAGGAAUACCAGUGGCGAAGGCGGCAUUCUGGACUGACACUGACGCUGAGGUGCGAAAGCGUGGGUAGCAAACAGGAUUAGAUACCCUGUAGU
rnacentral:rRNA from 1 species